rnacentral:rRNA from 1 species
UACGGAGGGGGCUAGCGUUGUUCGGAAUUACUGGGCGUAAAGCGCGCGUAGGCGGUGAUCCAUGUCAGGGGUGAAAUCCUGGAGCUCAACUCCAGAACUGCCUUUGAUACUGAAGAUCUUGAGUUCGGGAGAGGUGAGUGGAACUGCGAGUGUAGAGGUGAAAUUCGUAGAUAUUCGCAAGAACACCAGUGGCGAAGGCGGCCCACUGGCCCGAUACUGACGCUGAUGCACGAAAGCGUGGGGAGCAAACAGG